GUCUGAUAUGAAUAUCGCUUCGGGUUCCCCGCUCUUUAUGCCACUGGAUAGCUUGAGUAAUCGUCAAUAUAUCAAGGAUGAUGUCAUGUUUGUGAAGAUCAUCGUCGACUGAACAAGAUGAUGUAGAUUCUUCUGAGUUCAUUCUAUUUGGUGCGUAUGUGUGGGUUUUAGAUUAUUGUUUCAUAUUUAGCAUUUCGUAUUUACCUUGUAGUGCUAGUUUGAAUAGGAUUAUUAAGCUAGAGUGUGGUUCCCUCGAUGAGUUCUCUAGCUCGACAACUGGCCUUUGUAGCUGGGCCGCAGGUUCGAGGAUUCCUGCCAGACUGUGGUGCCAGAGGCACAGAAUAAAGACAUAAGCCUGGUUCACAUAAAAUCGUUAAGCAGUCGCAGACAGUCGCAGACAUGUGCCGAAUUUUUAUUUGAACACAAAUGCAGAUUCGCGCAGACUGUCUGAGACCGGAUCGGCGACGGAUCGGGAAAGUUGAACUUGAUUCAACUUUCCCGAUCCGUCGCAGAUCGUUCAUAUAAAAAUUCGGCACAUGUCUGCGUCUGCUUAACGAUUUUAUGUGAACCAGGCUAUACAGAAGUGUAUCUUCUUAUUAAAAGUGCGUAAGGGAUUCUUUCAGUCCGCCAUGUUCUUAGCAAGUGCCCUAAAGAGUGGCAGUCACCCC